rnacentral:lncRNA from 1 species
UGAUGUUGUUUUCAACAAUUUUAAAGUGUAAAAACUAUUCUUGGCUCUCGGAACAGAUGGUGGGCUGCCUUUGGCCCAUGGAUUGUAGGCUGCUGACUACUUCCCAAUAUCUUGCAGGAAUAGACACACAUUUUAACAGGAUACUUGACUUAGAUAACUUUUAUGAACGCUUGUUUUUUUUUCUUCUUAAAAAAGUUCCUGAGGAAGAUUUUUUAAAAUUUUAGUUGUUAAGUUAGUACACCGAAAUAGAUUUUUGUGAUAUGUAGUUCUAUGAAUUUUAACACAAGUAUGGGUAGUUUGUAUAGCCACUGCUAAAAUCGGGAUAUGGAGCAAUUGCAGCUUCCUUGUGGUACCUCUUUAGAGUUGCCUUUACCUCCACCCACGAGCCUUGGCAACCACUGAUCUUUUUUUCUGUCCCUAUAGUAGCUUUGUCUUUUUAAGAAUGUCAAUAGUGGAAUCGUACAUUAUUUAACUUUCUGAGCUAGACUUGUUUAUUCACUCAGCAUAAUACCUUUGCCAUUCACCCAAGUUGUUGCAGUUACCCAUAGUUCAUUCCUUUCUAUUGCCGAGCAGUACUUCAUUGUAUAGGUGUUCACAGUUCGCUUAUCCAUUCACCUGUUCAAGGGCAUUUGGGUUAUUUCUAGUUUUUGCCAGUUAUAAAUAGAGGUGCUUUAAUAUGCCUGUACACAACUAGCCGUGGUGGCUCAUGCCUGUAAUCCUGGUGACUUGAGAGGCUGAGGUGGGAGGAUUGCUUGAGGCCGAGAGUUGAGACCAGCCUGGGAUUUAUUGAGACUCUGUUUCCAGAACAAUGUAUAAUAAAUUCACUGGGUGUGGUGGCACGUGCCUGCAGUCCCAGCUGCUCAGGAGUUUGAGGCCAAAGGAUCACUUGAGCUCAGUAGUUCCAGGCUGCAGUGAGCUAUGGUUGUGUCACUGCACUCCAGCCUGGGUGAUAGGGCGAGACUCUGUCUCUAAAAAGGAAAAAAAUAUAUAUAUUCACGUGUAGGUUUUUGUGAGAGCAUAUGUUUUCCUCUCUCUAUGGUGAAUACCUAGGAGUGGGAUUACUGGUGACAUAAGUGUAUGAUUAACUUUAUAAGAAACAGCCAAACUGUUUUCCAGACUGCAUUCCCAACAUUGAUUUGUGAGACUGACACUUCAUCAUUUUUGUUCUUCUUUCAUUCCUGGUGGUCCAAGUUCUCUUUCUGGUAUUAAUUCCCUUCUGCAUGAAGCACUUCCUUCAGCGCUAGUCUGUGCCACAUCCUUCUGGCCUUCAUUGUUUUUAACGAGAAAUCUGCAGACUUUAAAAUAGUUUUACCUCUAUAAAUAACGUGUUUUUCUCUGAUUGCUUUUAAGAUUUUUUCCGUUUGUCUUUAAUUUUCAUCAGUUUGAUUAUUCUGUGUUUGGAUGUAGAUUUGUUUGGGCUUAUCUUUUUGGGAUUCACCAAAUUUAUUUUGUGGGUUUACAUUUUUUUGCCACAUUUAUAAAGUUCUUAGUCACUUCGUCACUCUUUUUUUCUUCUUCUUCUGGGAAUCUGGGGAUAUAAAUGUUGGACCAUUUCAUUUUGUCCCACAGAAGUGAUGUGUUUAUUUCUUUUCAAUUUUUUUCUCUUUUGUUCACCUUCUAUAAUUUUUAUUGACACUUCUCUGUCCUUAUUCCCAUUGAUCCCUUUCAUUGAGGUUUUUCUUCUAGUUAUUAUAUGUUUUCCUUCUAAAAUUUUCAGUUUUCUCUUUUUUAUAUUUUCUGGGGGUUUUUUGUUGAGACAUUUUAUCUUUCUGUUUCCAAAGUGCUUUACUUGUUGGGAAUUUUUAUAAUAGUUGUAUUGAAGUCUUUGUCAGGUAAUUCCAACAUCUGUGACAUCUUAUUGCUAAUGUCCAUUGAUUGAGAUUUUCCUGGUUCUUUGUAUGUUGAGUAAUGUUGGAUUGCAUCAUGGAGAUUUUGAAUAUUA